AGAGCAUAUAUUAAAGUUGUUGCAGUUAAAAAGCUCGUAGUUGGAUUUCUGGUUUAAUGCACCUGGCCCGCGGCCAUUAGGCUUGUGAGUGCCGGCGCGCGUUUACCAUCCUUCUAGAAAACGAUUCUGCCAUUCACUUGGUUGGGAUCGCGAUCUAGAUCUUUUACUUUGAAAAAAUUAGAGUGUUUAAAGCAGGCUUUUGCUAUGAAUACAUUAGCAUGGAAUAAUAAUCUAGGACUUCGGUUCUAUUUUGUUGGUUUCUAUAACUGAAGUAAUGAUUGAUAGGGAUAGUUGGGGGUGCUAGUAUUGGCCGGCCAGAGGUGAAAUUCUUGGAUUCGGUCAAGACUAACUUAUG
rnacentral:rRNA from 1 species